UACGUAGGAGACAAGCGUUGUCCGGACUUAUUGGGCGUAAAGGGCGCGCAGGCGGCCCGCCGCGUGUCUGGUGAAAGCUCCCAGCUUAACUGGGAGAGGUCCAGGCAGACGGGCGGGCUUGAGCGUCGGAGAGGGGCAUGGAACUCCGGGUGGAGCGGUGAAAUGCGUAGAGAUCCGGAAGAACACCUAUGGCGAAGGCAGUGCCCUGGCCGACCGCUGACGCUCAGGCGCGACAGCUCGGGGAG
rnacentral:rRNA from 1 species